ACAUACUCCCACACAAGGAUCCAUUGAACAACUUGAAUUGUCUCAGCUAUUUUAAGGAUAAACAUUUCUUCAGGAGUGCUCAUGAAACCUACAAUUGCUGAAGUUUUCAAACCAAUAAAUAUCACCUUCUUCAGUCCAUUACAGGGGGUAAUUUCUUUGCUACUUGCACAGAUAUAAGUUAGGAGGAAUAAUUUAAAAACAAUGUCAGAAAACUAGGGAAGUAUAGUAGGAACUUGGCUCAGGAGUGUGUUAAAAACCGUGUUCAUUCCUGGAAGGAAUGUUAGAUGAAAAAAUAUUAAUCAGUUACUAAUGAUACAAGUAACCUUUAAAAUGAAGGGAUCACCUUUCUCUGUGUUUCUUAUGUUUUUUGGGUUUUUUUCACACUACUUAAGCACAAACAAUAUUUAUCUAAAUCAGACAAGAUGCUAAAAGAAUUCUAAUGGAUAAUACAGUGAGAAUUUAGUAAAUAAUGAUUAUGUAGAGACCAAUUUCUGGAAGUGCCUUGCUCCCUUAGGCUUAUUCCUACUUUAAAAAAUAAUUCAGGGGCGAUUUAGGCUUUUGGGAGCCUUGCAUCUCUAAUAAUUCGUGGGAGUAAGGCUCCUCCAUCUCUGAAAGAGCUACCUAAUGUAAUUUGCUUGGAUGCAAAAAGCAGUAUAGUAGGUUUUCAUGGCAGUUUGCCUGGACUAAUAUAGCAACUUCUAGAUGUUAAUUAGUCACAGUGGAGCUCCACAAUACAGCCUGUUUGUUAAGCACGUGUUCAGGUAUCUUCAUGCUGCACGGCUUUAUGGCACAUAGGUAUAAACCUGGGUGCUUCUAAAUUUGUAAUUUCUUGCCUGAGAGAAAACUGAUGUAGAAAUACUCAGAUGCAGAUUCCAUGUUUUGUAGCUGCCUGCUGAUUUCCAGAUCAGGUACUCUCAGUCAGGACCAAACCUUCCCUGCAACACCUCACUCCAUCAGCAGGGAACUUUUGACAGGACUGGGUGUGAGAUGAAACACUUUUUAGCUCUUGCCAUGCCAUGCUGUUAAAAUGAGAGUCAUAAACCCCAAUUCUGUCCUACAUUGCUCUAUUGAUGUUGCAGAACUAACUUAUAUGAAGCAUAAUUUAAACAUAUUUAGAGGAAAGGUUGCCUUGAGUAAAUGAAUCCCAGCAGAAGCUGUAGGAAGAACCCUCCAUAAAUCUUUUCUAUGUAUCUUAUAACUUGAGGAAUACCUGUAGGCUUCCUUCAGGGCUGUGCUCAGCAUCAAUUGGGUAGCAGAGCUGCAGAUACUGUGGGAAGCUGUUGAAAUCAGGCUGCAUCCCGUUUUAUUCCAGUUCAGCUCCAUUUGGGGUGGUUCAGUUAGGAGUUCAGCUUCUCCACUGUAGUUAUGGUUAAAUACAAACUCAGAGAAGCAAAAAGUGACCCACAUUUUUCACUCCUUUUUUCAGCUUUCAAAGGCCUCAUCUGUUGCCUUUCCCUGUUCAUUAAGCUAGGAAUAAUAACGGGUGUAAUGCUUAAAAAGACAAUAUUUUGAGAAAGAGAGGGCAAUUUCUAUUUGGCCCUUUGUCUUGUGUAAUUCCACGUUUCUCUUCUCUGUGUGUGUAGCUCUGGUGAAAGGUGCCAGACUGACAUGCUUGGGGAAUGAAUAACUCUUUUUAUGCACAGUUGGUGUCUGAGUACAUCAGAGGUUUUGGGUUAGCAAAUCUCCUUAAUCCUAAGAAGUAAAUCACUAAAAGAUGUUGUUGGUAAAUAUUAAUUAUUUUUCCUGAGAUGGAACUCAAAAUCAGAGAGGAAGGAGAUAAAGAAAUAUGGACAUGCCUGAUAAUUCUGAACAUAUCACCAGGAAAGGCCUCUCUGCCAGGUUGAUAAGGGAGUGUCCUGAUAUCUCAUCUUGUUUUGAAUAUGCCUACCAAUUUCCUAUCACAUGUCACAGCCUCCAACCACUCUGCAGCUAAGCCAUGCAGUACAAACACAAAACUGCAAAAACUUAGCCUUUAGCUCCUUGGUGGUGCAUUUCUUUUGAAGACAAAACAACUGUGACAGUUUUUCUUAAAAUGUGAAUUUUCUACUCAUGAAAAACAGCAGUUCAGAUUUCUAAAAAUAACUGUCAUCUUUGCAUGCCAGAGCUGAGAGGUCUAAAGGAAUGAGCCAAUUAAUUGACUAGGGAACUUAAAAAUGGAAACCUGUCAGAUGGAUGUGUCUGGACCAUAGAUCAGGAGGAAAGGAAGAUGGAGAGCAAUGUGUAUGCUGGUAUUUCUAACCAAUCAUGCGACUUGGGGUUGGCACUCUGAACCAGGUGAUACUAAUGGGGAAGGAGAUAUUGCUCCCCAUCCUCUCUCCUUUCCCAGUCUUAACUGACUCAUUGCUUUGGAAAUUCUUGGCUAACAUAUUCAUUCAUUUCUCACAGAAACUAAGUGUUGCAGCUAGAAAUAAAACAGAAGAUGGCUAGUAGUGACAUAUCUAUGGAGAAUUCAUAAUGCAUGAUUUCAAGUCUCAGAAACUUCAGAAAAGUUAUAAUUUAUUCCUUUUCCUGCUCUGCAAUAUGUUUAAUACUUCUGGUAUAAAAACCUACAUGAUCCAACUGCUCAUGUUAACAGCACUAUUGAGAAAUGUUUAGUGGUUAUGAACUCUUUCACCCCAGCAUGCACAAUACCCAGGGCACUGGGACCAGCUGCACACAUGAUAGAGGAAGAAUGGGCCGCCCUCAACACAGCAGGGAGUAUGAAGACUGAUUUGUUUGGUGCCUAUGCCCUUGACAUUCUCCCUGUGCAGCUCGCACAGCUUCUAGCUCCAUCCUGAUUCCUCUACAGGUUGGAACAGGUAGUGUUAAGUGGCUCUGGCUUCUCUCUCUCCCAGUGCCUAAGAAGCUGAGUUUUACCAUGGUGGUGGUGGAUCUCUGAGUCUCUUGCCUAGCUCUACCAACAUUUUUAAUCAAAUGCUUGUGAAUCUGUCCUUAGACUAGAAUACCACCUGUACUCCAGUAGAAUUAAGCAGCUUUUUAGCAGACAAAUUUAGCAUCUCAUGUAUUAGAUUCAUGUCAUUCUGAGCAGGUGCCAGAACGUUUUUUUCAUGUCAAACACUUGGACAGCUUAAGACUACUUUUGAUGACGAUUCAUUGUCUUUCAGCCCAGGAAAUCCCCAGCACAACAAUUUCUCCUUGCAAAACUGACUUUUUAAGAGACGCUUUUUACAAAUCGCAUCUACCCUAGGUAGGUAGCUUUGAUAUCACCUCCAAAACAAAUUCCUCAUCAACCCCAAAUAUUUUGAAUGCAAAAAUUCUUUAUGGCAGUCUUGAUUGAUGGUGUCUGAAUGCAGGUACCCUUCUUCUCUAUGUCCUCUUUACGUUCAGGUGACUGCAUUGCUGACCUCAGCUCCCAUAAUGCACAAUUCUCAAGAAAAUGGGUUUAUGAUCUCUCACAGGAGUAAGUUUGCUCUAAAGAGAUUUUUUGCAGAGGAGAAAUGUACCAAGAAGAAUUAAGGAGUCACUUCCCAAAAGACACUACAGGAAUAUUUCUGACAAGACCUUUUCUCUUUUCACUUGAUGAAAGUAUUUUUAAUUUUGGGGGUAGACCCAUUUCUGAUACCCAGCCAGCAUAUUUGUGGAUGCUUUUCAUAUUAAUUAUUCAGUUUUCCUGUGCAUCCUUCUUGCCAACAAAACUCUUAGGUUAGAGACAGAUAUCUGAAUACUUUGCAAGGACAGUCUGCACUGACAGCACAGAGAGCAGGAUGGAGUCAGCCAACUCAACCAGCUGCCAUAGUGCUGAGCUGUCCACAAACACAGAAGCAUUCCAGAGAUGGAGUUAUGACUGCAAGAGUCUCACAGUCAGCUUAUAAUUUGGUUUAGAAGAGUAAUGUGUCUGAUGCCAUAUGGUGGAGCUAAUCUUGUUUAUCACUGCUUCACUGCCCCAUCCGUUUGGAUCCUAGUAGGAAUCAUCACACAAAAACCUACUGCUGAGACCUUCUGCAGAGACAGAGACAGGUGUGAGUGGUCUGGGGAGGUCUCAGGAGAGUGCAGUUGGAGACUGAACAGAGAGAAGAAAGCUCAUCCUUUCUGAAUUGCACCAAAACACCCAGCAUGAGAUAGAUAAAUAGCUCAAAUUUGAGAGAGACUUCUAGUGGACCUAAUAAACGUUUUUUUUUCAUUUUACCUCCAGAUUUCUAGAUUUUAGGAGGAAUAAUUUAUUAAUUAUUAAAGGUUUGUCUGUAAUGCAUUUUUUUUACAAAUUCUUAUGUACUGAUGCAUAUUGAGUCCAGUCUAAUUCCUUAAUGAUUACAGCUUUCCUAUUCAUGUCUGUCAGGUUAAUUCACAAUGCAGUGAUGUUACCUCAUCUCACCAAUAACCUGCCUUUGCAAUAGUUAAUGUUAUUUCACUGCCCACCUUGGGCAUCUCUGCUGAAUUUGAUGCUCACCUCAGUUAUCAGCAACAGAAGAUUAGCCACUGACCACCGACAUUGCCUGUGAAAGGUCCGUGCCUUGAUGUAUCGCUUGGCAAAGUAAAUCUAGACUGAGUGUGGAAACAAAAGAUCUUUUUGUGGGCCUUGACAAGUCUUUGAACACACUCAAAAGGGCCAAAUGGCUUUUUGAUACAGUCUUGAGCUGGCAGCAGAGUUUCACCCUCUACAAUUUUGCUAUCACCUUUUUAUUCUCAUGUAUUUCAAGAGGUGCAGGAUGCUCCCAGUGUGUGUUUGUCUCUGACUCCACUGAGAGCAGGCACUUGCCCUGCGUGGUUCAGCAGUCAUUGGAAGAGCCUGCCAGGGUACCUGCCAGCAGAGGGAUGCCAGCUCCUUAAUUCCAUCAGGAACUGGUGUAUGCAGCAGCUAAUUUACUGCUUGAACACCUUGAUUCUGAUGGGUGAACUUGUAUAAAACCUUUCUUUUCACACUCCACUGUGAGUCAUGUUAGGAAGACUGCAGGGUGCCAGCUUUCUAGUGUCUGUGAGAAGCAGAGCAGUGCUCACACUUCCCAAAGCAUUAGUCAUUCAAAUCCACCCUCAGUCUUUCUCAUGUCACACAUUUUAUUUGUGCAUGAGCAGGUAAGCUCAGAAUAAGUUAAAAUCUCUUCUUGGAAAGAAGGAGUCAUGGAAGACAAGUCUGCACAAGGUUUAAAAUAAAAAUCCUGCAGCUCCACUGUUGUGUGUUUCACUUCUACCUGUGGUACCUGUAAAGCUAUCAGGUUGGAAGAAACAGAAAAAAAAAACUAUUUGCAUGCUUUUGAGAAGCUUUCCUUCUCAUUCUUCUAUUAUAAAGAAGAGAUCAUCCCAAUAUUUGAGAGACAAGAGGAUAAAGUUCAACCAUGCAAACCCAUCCUCCUCUUUUUGGCCUUCUUGACACCCACUUGGAUUUCACUCCUGAAGCUUAGUUACAGGCUGUGUAAUCAGUGCACAGAACACACUGCAAAGAGAGCCUGGAUAGCUGCUCCUGUCCUGUGCCAGGACAGGGUGAAGGUAUGGUAAGGAAUAAGAAACCUAAGAAAAACAAAGUUGGAUGAGGAGGACAUUUUGUUUCUCAUGCCUACAAACAGUGGAUCUCAUGUUAAAUCCCAAGAGUGAAAACACAGCAACAAGUUUAGGUCUGUGGUGAAGCCCAAGAAUGGGCAAUGCCAUUAAACCUGACUGCUUUUGGGUCUGAUUCUGCAGGUUUUACAUAUGUGUACAUAUACAUGAGCACAUGUCUAUCACCUGAAGGCAGUCAACAUAGUAAUAGAUGUGCAAAGACCUGAAGGGAUAUAUCUCAUUCACAUUGUUUGGAGUUAGACUGUUAAGGAACAAGGGUCAAAUAUCUGCAUAAUCCCCAAUCCCAGCACCAGGAUAAGCAGAAGCAGUAAUGUUUUCUCUCUCAGCACAGAAAUGCACAGAAAAUAAAAGGACUGGCAGUACCUUGCCAGAACAAGUGCUUUGCUGCUCAGACUAGUUUUUGGAAGAAAACAAAUUCUAGAAAAAGAAGAUUAAUUUCCUCCAAAAUUAUCUUUUCUUUCCAUAUACACACUGACAAGAAGCAUCCUGUGAACAGUAUACUCCAAACACAUCAGUAAAAUGAGGAACAGAAGAGUAACAUCCAUUAUUUGGAAAGAGCAAAAGGUGAAGGAGAAAUUGUAUCUUCAGCUUUCCCAAAUUCCUAUCAAAGUGUGAGGAGGACAAACAAAGAAAAAACUCUUCUGCAAUUUCUUCCCUCUCCCUCUCUGCAGCAUUGGCAUCACAGAAAGCAAGCAGCUAUGAUGUCUCAUAGACCCAAGAUUAUGUUGUAUUCUGAACCUCCACCUUCCCACCUCUGGAAACUUUGUUGUGCUGGCUUUGCCCAUUCUGACACUGAGUGUUUUCCCUGAGACAUCAGUGUCUAUGAAUUUGAAUGAAUGAAUGAAAUUUUGCCCUCAUUUUCUCAGAGACGUGCAUUUGAGAGACAUUUAUUGGACAAAGGAGCAGGUAGGAGCCAAAAGAUGCAGCACCAGCCCAUCAUCCUUCCCCAGCUGACAGCAGAGUGGUUGGGUGGUGGGAAGAGGCAGCUCCCUGCAGACCAUGCUGACUGCCAGUUAUCCUUGCUCUUGCUCCAUUACUCUCCCAGCUCCAGCCUGCACUGAGCUGUCUCUCACCAGAAAGGAACUAUUUUCCUUGACCUCAGUGAUAAACAAAAUGCCACAUUGCUUUUUUGUUUUUCAAAUAACACAAAAGAAAUGUGACAAGGCGGCUUAAAACUUUGUCAAAAAUCUUGUUUUCUGUGAUUAGACUUGAGUGCAGAGGAUCAUUGUAAUUUUGGGAAAAUUUAGGCUUAUUUAGCUUUACCAACCAUAGCUCUUUUAUGACCAGGAGCACCCUCAGAAAGUUUCUCCUUAAUACCGUCUCUCACUGAGGACUUUGAACAGUGAAAUUAUUUGAUAGUUGUCAAAGAUAGUUUUUGUGGGUCAGAUGCUAUAUAGCUCAUUGUCUAAGCCAUAUCUCCAAGUUUAGAUUAACUCUUGGCUCAUAAGGAUUUCCUCACAGAAGUAAGCUAAAGAGUAUUGCAUUAAAGAGAAAAAGGCUGAAAUAAUAAGCUAAAAAGAAAUGCAUAGAAAUGGUGUAGAACUUCUCUUGUGGGACCUGUAUUUUUUUUUUCUAAAAUACAUAAACAAAGGAGAAAAAUAGUUCUGGCUAAAAUAAUUUUGAAAAGCUCACUCCUACAAGUCCAAAUGAAAGAAAACUUUAAUCUCUAGAUUCAACCUCCAUUAUCUGACAGAUAAUGGAACUAUCUGCAGGAAAUGAAAAACCUGAUGAAGAUUAAAUGUGGGAUUCACCUAAUAUAACUUCAUCUCCUUGAAAUUCAGGUGACUAAAUUAAAGCCCUCCUCUUGGCUCUCUAUACUGAGUACAGAGUGGGAGAAAUACCUCCAAAGAUAAAUUAAUAUUCUGUCUUCUAGUCAUCUGUCUUACACAGGUAUAAGUUGCCUUCAAGAGGGAUGUCCAUCUCUGCUGACUACUGAAAAAAUCCUGACAGGCUUGGUAGAAAAGUCUUGACUAUGAAAGGCCAAGUAUGCUCAGUCCCAUGGGUCAGAGAGUGAAUUGGUCGUGCCCAGGGAGAAUGGAAGGUUUGUUUUGACUUGGAGAAUAGCCUAGGACAAGGCUUAAUACUGAUAUCAAGGCAUCAGAUACAAAACACAAAUAAAUUUGUGUCCUUUCUCUGCUACUGCCAUAAAAUAUGGCAUUUUUUGCUAUUAAAAAUGCAGUGGUGUUGUCUUCAAAAAUAGUUGUCUUUAUGAAAACAUAAAGAGAAGUUCUAAAUGCAAGUACAUGGAUACUGAGGGGUUUUCUUUCCCCUUAAUUCACUGAGUUAAUUUUUUACUGUGAGUGGCAAAGCAAAACUCCUCUGUAGAAACAUUCACUCCCCCAAUGUGUUAUGGAUUUCCAGUGGUGAACUAUUAGGUGUUUUUGCAAUUAACACAGCAUGAAAGAACCAUCACUUCUAUGGAUCUCUGAGUUCACACUUUCUUCUAAUGAGAGCCAAGAUAAAUUGUUCCAGUUUCAGUGUAUUGGCUACCAAAUUGACCCUGAUCCAUAGCUCACUUCAGGCUUUGGUAAUUCCAAUAAUCUUGCAGUAUGUUUGGAUCCACCAAUUGAAAAUGUCUAAAAUUCAGUCAUGCUACUCUAGAAGAUAAAGCUGGAAUAAAACCAGAUAUAUUCUGCUCAGGUUUAAUUUUUUUUUCUUCUCUUCCUGUGAAAUAUAACACCACUUCCACAUCCAUCUACACUGGUAUUUUUCCCAGAGAUGAAAUACUGGAGAACCUGACCUAGUGCCUUAAGGCAAUUCCUUAGUGAUGGAACUAUCUUUAUUAACAGAUGACAUAAUUUCUCUUCUCAGAGUGUAAAAUGCAGAGUAAAGAGAGGUGAAGGGACAGAGGCAACUCUCUUUAUGCCCUCACCACAUUUAACAAACCUUGUCCAUAGAGGAGUCUGACAGUGCACUUUCUAUUCUGGUUCCAUUUGUAUAUAUCCUUCAGAAGAGGCAGCACAUGAAUAACACUGCUGAUUGUUGAUGUCUGUGUUCAAGGUGAAUGUUAAAAAAGAAUGGAUAUUUCUCUGCAAAUCAGCUCUUCCCAAAACUCACCUCAGUGACUGCACACUGUAAAAUGAUUGUGCUCAUGAUGGGUAUGUAGCACGACGUGUGGUAUUCCUGGGUCAGAAAUCUUCUUAAUAGCUAUGGGAGAGGGCUCUGGGAAAUAUUGAGACUAUGGGUCAUGAGUUUCACAGGUCCUGUAGAGAAUCUGGUUAAAGUUAGGUUCUGAAAUAGUGACUGUGAAUAAAAACCCAAAAGGUGAUUCUACCUGAGUUCCUAAUCCUGAGGAAUGAGCAGGUAUGAACUGAGUGCCACCCACGUGGCAGGAGCGGUGAGCAAUGAUUGACACAAUGGUCUGUUUGUGCUCUCCCAGCUAUCCUAGGAGUAAUUCCAUAUAAUGAGAUCCAUAGCACUGGUGAGGUGCUGGAGGUCAGUUUGUACAUGAGCCCUGUCCUGUGUGAAUGGCAUGGACGUGCUACACCAGUGGGUUCUGGUCACAUCAGGGAAAGAGUCAUCAAAAUGUUGGAGGAUGGGAAUGGCAGAUCAGUCCAUCACUGGUCUCUAGUAUCUGAUGUUUGAUAUGUUUCCUUUUAGAGCCACGUAAAAGUGCUCAGAGCACCCUUGUUCCUCCUGGAGGUCAGGCCUGGCUGCCAAGGCUCAGAGUCCCUCGUGCUCCAAGGGGAUCAGGAAAAGCCCACAGCAGCCUUUGAGGAGGUUACCAUGAGCAGACCCAUCCCACCUCUCCUUUAUCUCCCACCUGUGCCACAGACCUAGCCACAUCACAGUAAAAUAUUGGGCUGUAACAGGAAACAAUUAAUGAAGAGCUGUCAGAAGAGAUAUAUAACAGACAGACAGUAUUGUAAAAUUACAUACCUAGCCUUUUUUUUUUUUUUUUUGUAGUCAGAUUCUUCCAUAUGUUGCCAGCCUGAGGCAUUUUUAUAGGAACUUUACCCAAACCAGGGACUGAUAUUUUAAAAUUUCAAUCUUGCUUGAGACACACCCCUCCUCUCAUCUCCCCUCCCCCAAGUUUAUGCUGUGUAUUUUCCUUUGUCUUGCUGUUUUAAAGUUACAUUCUUUGGCUCUUGAGACACUCAUGUAUUCUCUGCCUGGGGUGCACACAUGGAGCAAAGGGGCUGGAGACAAGAGCCUGAUUUGGGAUGUAGCAUCCCAUUCUCCUCUUCAACCUCCAUCUUGCACUCAAAGAAAAAUGAGAUCGUUGUGGCAAUAACCUGAUUCCCACCAGUGCAGCAGAAAUCACUUGCUUCUCUCAUCUCUAUGAACUGCAAUAUCAUAAAAUAUCUUCCCACAUAUUCAGGUAUCACUCUUGGAGGACACAAGGCAGGAUUCCUUUGCAGAAGGAACUUAAUGGGUAGGAAGAAUACCGACUUAAUGUGUAGCUUCCCAUUGAUUUACAGUGGUAUCUUAUUUCUCUCAGGAUGUUUUGUCUCUAAAGCAAUUUGAAAAAUCUCUAUUCAUGCUAAUUUUGAUAUCUACUUUAUGUUCUAACACACCAAGAAGAGUUUGUCAUUUGUGUCACUGGGAGCUGGCCAGCAGCUGGCAACUUUGCACAAUUGACCUCCAACAGAAAGGAAGCCAAAUUCAGCUGAAGUUUGAAUAGCAUUUAUUGGAGCAUAAGAAGUAAGCAAGUUUUUUCCUUCAACAUGCUUGUUUAAUAAAAAAAAAAAAAAAUAGUUAAGGGUGACAAUAUUUCAUACACGUCUUUAGAAAAAGGGUAAACGUAUCAGAGCCCAUGAUCUCACGUAUCAUAAAUCUUCUAAAAGCAAACCUGGGAAGGAUUUUAAUUAGCCUCUUAAUUGCACACCCUGCACUGAAAAAGGCAAGUAAUAUGUACUGAGGCCACCUCUAACAGAUAUUUGAUUUAUAAUCUCAGAGUAAACCAAUUCUGCAGCCCGUCUAGGCAACUUGUAGUGCUUCCUUAUACUUAGUUAGGAAACUUUCCCUAGUAUCUAACCUAAAUCUUUGUUUCUGCAAAUUAAGACAAUUACUUCUUGUUUGACCACUAUUGAACUGUCUGAACAAUUGAUCAUUCUUCUGUGGUGUUACUAUAAAACUGAAACAAAACUACUGGAAAAGUAGAAUCAUAUCUUUGUUUAAACUUUUUUAGAUUAAAUAAAUCCAUUUUUUUUAGUAUGUGGUACUAAAACUCUUAUUGUUUUCCAAUCACCUUUAGACUUUCUGUAGAUUAUCUAUUAUCUCGAUCUUUGUCAGACUCUUGCAGAUUAAAUGUCCCAAUGUUUAUUUUAUAGUCAAGUCUUUAAUAACACCUCACAUGGCAAUAUGCCUUAUUUAAAACCAUACAAAAUUUUCCUCCUUAAUAUGUAUGUGAUUUGCUGUAUUCUUUCAGAUAUUAUAUUGGUUUUUGGCUGAAGCUUUUUUAUUUUUAACUCAGUGCCGGAUUUCCUUAUUUCAAAUGGAGCAUCCUUCAUGCUUUUGUUAAAUUUCAUUUGCUGAUUUCAAACCAAACCUCCAGUCUACUCAGAUCACUUUGUAUUUUGUCAUCUGAAAGUACUAUUUCACAGAUGAAAUGCCUUCACAUACUGCUGUGAAGCACCACUGACCUGAAUAAGUCUUCAUUUCAAGGGCUUUUUUAUUGAGAUUCUGGAUGAGGUCCAGGUAUGAAGUCAUUACAUGGUCAAUUAUUUUCCAGUCUGCCACAGUAGUGUUUCAAGCACAUGUGCUGGUACGUUAUGUGUGUGGGAAAUAACAUGAAGAGGAAGAACUUUAAAAUACCAAAACUGACAUUUCUGCUUUUCCAUAAUUCUUUAGAAGAGUUUUUAUAUUUCCAUUUUUAUUGAUAUAUAUAAAAAUGAAUGUGUACACCUAACAUUGAUUUGCCCACACACUGUCUGUUUAGGGUUUUGCAUGUUUCUGACAUUAAACAAUCCUUCUCUUCUACUUUUUGGUUUUGAUAGGCUGCCUCAGGGGUCUCUUGCACAUAAAUAAUAUUUUUUCAUAUGGUCUUUUUUCUUCUCCCUGCAAUUAUCUCUUUAGACUAAUGAGUACUUGAAAGUGAAUUGUAUUUGAAACCAAUGGAGGUCAAUAGAGGUGACUAAGUAUUAUGCUAAUUUAGGUUUUGGCUCCUAUUAUAUAUUGUCCAGGUCCAUUCAGGUUUAAGAGUAAAGAACAGAAGCUUUUGUGUUUCAAUGUUUACAUGAGUUUUCCCCUUUUGCUGAAGUAUAAUGGUUGAUAUUUGCAUUUAAUUAAGGUUUGACUCAAAGGGAUACUGGAGUUGGCUUCAUUAGUCUUGAAAGAUGUCCUUGACACAAAUAAAUAUUAGCAUCCUGGCUAAGGGAAAAACCAAAGAAAAUAACAGUGAUUAAUUGAAAAAAAAAAAAAAAGAGAAAAGAAGACAGAAAUAUCUUUCACACAUCACAGGGCUUUCUCCAGAUUUAUCACAAAAAUGAAAAGCACUUUGAAGAUGGGAAAUUGCAAAUGCAGAAACUGUGUCUUCGUAUCUCCAAUACGUGUAGCCACAUGCUUCAAAUGAAUGUGACUGAUAGAAGUGUUACCAGAAAACUGCAGCCAAGAAUCAAAAAGCGACUGCUGGAUUUUAAAAUGUGUGAUUCAUUUUCAUGCCAUUAAGAUGAGAAAUGUAUUUUUUCCCCUUCUCUCUCUGGUUUUUGAACCAUUCCUUCUCCUCCUUUCUCUAGAGGCACACUGAACCUUUGGUGUGUUAUAUUGUGCUCAGACAUCUGACUAGGAGAGGAAAACAAUGUAUUUUCUUUCUUUAAAUGCCAAAAUGUCAUAAAUUUCCACCUCCACGUAUUGUCUCCACCUCUGAAGAUGCUAGGGGAGGUUUCCUUCUGAAUGUUUUUCUAGAUCUGUGCAAAAAUGACUGAUUUAAAAGCAGUGAGAUAUACUUUGGUAAUGGAAGACAGACAGUUUUCAGAACUUUGACAGUUACAAGUUUGGCAGACAGUUUUGCCUUCUAAAAGAUCCUGAUUUUCAGAAAAUUCUAUAUUGCAAUAAAUAAAUUCACUUCCAGGCAGCUCCUAUUAAACAUCAAAACUGAAGCAUGUAAAAUCUGAAGCUGCAUUCACAAUCCUCACUUAGAUACAAGAUCUCAGUCAUAAUCCAUCUUGGUUGCCAAGGUCUUAAGACCCAUAGUACAUCUGAUAAAAUUUUCUGUUCAUGGGACAAAUUUCCAUUGAUGCUGUUGUUGGUUUCCCAUCAGCUGACCCGUUUUCCCAAGGAAUUAAUCAACAGGAUGAAAGUCAGAAUAAGCUUCUUGGCAUCCUUGUAUGAGGUAAAUAAGUGUCAAAUUGAAACUACGUAAAAAUUAGUAUUUAAUUUAAUUGAGAUUAAUAAAAUAAUACAAAAUAUUUUAUCAGUACAGUUUUUAUUAUUUAUUUUACUAUGUUUAUUAUAUUUUAUAAUUUUAUGUAUAAUUUUAAUUAUGUUUUUAUUUAUUCAUAAUUGUUUGAUGCUAGCAACAGAUCCCAAGUUUGUGUCAGAGUGAGUACCUAAUAUUUAGAAAUCCUUAGAGAGAAAAUAUAAUAACAACAACUGACUAAUUUAUUUGCUAUGAAGUAGAAGACAUUACAUUAAUCUUUACUGGACUUUAAAAAGAUAGUCUUUGUUCUUGUAAGCAACCUGAGCAAUCAAAGAAUGAAAUGUAAAAGUUCUGAGUAGAAAGCUGCAGUCACUACUCAGCAAUGCAAAGUAGAAUGACACAUGCAAAUUAAAGUGCAUGCGGUAUUUUUCAAGCUCUAAAUCAAAUUUGUUGGGAUAAAAUGGUGAUAAAAAAAACUUCAGACAUGUUCAAAUCCCAUUUUCUGAAUUGAUUUGAGAAUCACGAGGCUUGAAUCUCAUUUUAGAUCAUUGAAACUUGAGAAAUUGAGGGUCAAAAUCCAAAUGCCAUCCCCUGUACUUCCUAACACCUAGAAAUGACAAAUCCAGGCUUACCUGUGAUGUUUCACAACGACUCAGAUCACCUUUACUGCCUCUUUCAUGUCACUGCAGAGAGUCUGUACCCUUGGUGAGAGUCUUUGUUAAGGGGACAGCUGAUGGAUAUGAAUGGAAAGACAGCUGACACAAACCAGCAUGUCAGGUAAGGCUGGUGUUGUUUUGCUACCCUUCAAAAGAGGAGAAAAUUUUCACAUUUCUAGAUGGUGCAGCAACAGUGCUGGAACUUGGAGGUUUGAAGUACUCAAAACUUAUUUUUACAAUGGAUAUUUGCUGAAUUUCCAUGAAUGUUAAAACUCUUCUUUGAAUCUCCAGAAUCUUGAGGAAGAUUUUCCAUUGAGCACAUGUUUCUGUCUGUUGGUUUUAUUUUAAGAACACAGCAGUGGAGGGGAUUGAGUAAAAUGAAGAUGCAAAGACAAGCAAGAAACAAGGAACAAAUCACAGCAGCAAAUCUUGGAGGAGUGUCUGAGAAAAAGUAUAAUCCACAAAGUGGCAGCAUUAAUGCAUCAAGAGUGGAAAGGAACCUGAGACAAAUACCUUGGACGGUGGGAGGUGUCUGGAAGCCCUUGUGAAUGAUGGUAGACAGCAUAUGGUGUGUGGGUGUCCACUGUGAUCUGUUUCCCCCCAGCAGCACAUGAACGGUACCCAGUCUCAAAGUCAUAUUUCCUCUUAGUCAUAGUUCUACCUGCUCUUCAUUUUUAUCCUUCAUGCCCUCCUGAAAUGAUACAUUUGAAAUGGUUUCUGGUCUGUUCUAAGCAUUUAAUUCCUGGAAAGAUAUCAACACACCAGAGAGACUUUUAAGAGGAGUGAGAAAGAAAAGCUGUGGAGGUGAUUCAUAGUAACAAUGGUAAUUGUCAUAACAGUGAUUGCUGCCCAUUGCCUAGCAGCAAUUUCAACAUGUGUCCUCACCAGUAUCUAUUUUUAAGAGGACAUUCUUCAUUGUGUAACAGUAUGUUUGUGUAUUUAGCAAGAUAUAGAAAGGAGAAAGGGGAAUGGCUGGAGGUCCUGAUAAAGCUUAGAAAAGGUAGAGAAGAGGGGAGGAGAUAAAAUGUUUUAAAUGCAUGUGUUCAAGAAUUGUCAAAAAUAAAAAAAAUGUGGAAGAAAUAUUAAUAUUAUUUAUUAAAUCCCUUCAAUUUUAAAUGUGGAAAUGGUGGAUGAAAAAUUACAGCCAGAUUAAUGAAAGUCAGAUGGGUAGAAUAAACCCUGAACUACAAUUCUGCAACAGCAGAAUUUUCAGGUCUUGCUCUCUCACUCUUACAUCCUUCAGGACAAAAAAUCUGACAGACAUUUAUCCUGGUGUCACUGAGAUCACAUUUUGAGAACAAUGGUAGAAUUGAAAAGGAGAUUAGGUCACAGUUUGGCUAACACAAUCUCUGUUGUCACUGGUGUUGUGUCAGUAAGAAAGACCCCCUGUCAGAAAUCAAAGUGGCUCUGAGUGAGUGGCUGUGGGGGAAAACUUGUUUUCCAUUUGUAUGAUGAGAAAAUCAAACCUGAGAGUGAGAGAAGCAUAAUAAGUACAGGAGAGCAAAUAAAAACCCCUCAUUUUUUUGUAGAUUCACUGUUUACAGUGGGCACUAAAAUCCUGCUAUUAAGAUUUAUAAUUGUUCAAGGCUUUAUUGUUUAGACAUUUAGAAGUCAUUCACUAACUCAUAUGUUUUAAUUUCAGAGUAAUCAAAUACAAACAAAGAAAUCUUCAUAAACUAAGGAGUGCCUAAUCUCAGAACAUUAAAUCACAGCAAGAUAUUUUGAUUUGAGCAUUUACAUCUUGAACAGAUUAUAAAACUCUUAAGAGAUCUGAUGAUAUGGUCUUUACUCCCACCCAAGAGCAGAUUCACAUAGUUACCUUUGUGUUUUUGUACAUAAAGGGUUAUGGUUAUAGAUGAGCGUGUACUAUACUGUAAAAUGUAGCUAACUAACAGAGAUUUAGGGGGAAAAUAAUGAAUUUUUAUGGAUUAAUUAUUACUUCAGGUGAUAUAACUAGUGUAGAAAUAUAGCAAGGAAUUGACUCUAUGCUUCUGAAUUCAUACCUGAAAUUGUCACUAGUUUACUGAAAACACUUAAGUUGUACUUGCAACCACUGAAAGCAGCAGACAGAAUGUUUGCUCUACUGAUAUUUCCAAACUGUGCCUUUACCACCAGUUUUUUCUAAGCCUUUCCUUUAGUAUUUGUUCAAAUCUUGAGAUCAAUGCCUAUCAAAACAGGAAUGACAUUUCUGGGCAAAACUUACUGAAACAAUCAUUUAGCACUGUCAUCAUAUAUUAGAGAGUAAACUUUAAUUUGUCAGGUAGCAAGCCUGCUUAGAAACACAACACAUUGGGUAUGAAAAACAAAUUCAUAUAAAUGAUGCACAUAAACUCAUGACUAUGCAUUGUGUAAGCAAUGUGUGCUUUGUGCCUCUAUAGAGUUUUUACUCCAAAAGAUGCAGCCUGUGUCUUGGCAGGGUGUGUGUAUCAAUGUGUGGAACACUUGAUGUGAAAAACAAUCAGUUGUGACAAUCAGCCAGUCAGCAAUCUUGAACACUUUCCAUCUCUGCUCCAUUUAUGGGCAUCAGUAAAUAAAGCUGUGUUCUUAAAGCUGUGUUUCCAUUUAUUUUUUUCUGCCAGCUAGUGCCAGGCAACUUAGUGGAGCCUUCCAACAUUGCCUCCGUAUGGAAAUAAAUUGAAUCAACAUUGUAUUUUUUUUCCCCCAGAAUAAAAUGUUCCCUCUCUCUUUCAUACUCCUUUUGCUUCAUGAGAAAACAGCUUCAAAAUAAACAAUUAGAGGGCCCUUGUAAACUUUGCUAUCAGUUACUUAGAUUUGUUUUUGUGUUUCUUUUUUAAUAAAUAGUUACAUUAAAGAGAAGAGGGAGAAAAUCUAGUUCUACAUCUGCUGGUCCUCAGUUCAUUCUGAGAAGAAAACUAAUGGUCUCCAAAUAAAUAUUACAGCUGUUGAAACUUUGAGGAGAUGUGAUUCAGUCUGAUCCUUGCAACUUGAAUUUGGAUUUUAAAAUGGUCUAUUUUUUUUCUAAUGUAAAUGAAUACUUGUUUUUUUUUCUGUGUAAUUUUCUUCUUGAUUUACAUCUGGGUUCAAAAAAUACAGUGGAUGACUUUGCCCCUGUGACCUCUCCUUCUUUUCUUUCCAGUUCUUUCAUGAAGAAUGACAUUUUCUGUCCAUAAGGGUGAAUGUUUUCAAAGAAUCUCAACAUCUGUAGAAAAAACAAACAAAACCCCCAAAAUGACAAGAGCAACAACAACAACAACAACAAAACAAACAAACAGCAACAACAAAAAAAACCCCAAGGACUUUGUGGAAAACAUUCUGGGCUGUGGGAGAGAAAUCCUAUAGUUCAUGUCCUUCCUUUCAAAUGCACUUUCAUAUGUGACUUCAGGCAAUUUACUUGAUCUCUCCAGCUCUGAAUGUCCAUGAACUCAGCAAUAUUUUUAAUACAUGGAUACACAGGAACUAGCAGUCUUAUCACUUCUUCUCUACUGUGUUACAGUUUAGAUAAACCUAUCUUUAUAAAAGUUUAAUAGUGUUUAAGACAAAAUGGAUUCUAUACACAAGUUACAUUUAUUGCAAGAAAACAAAUAGAAGAAGAAAAUAUCUAUGAGUUUUCAGCUUAUCUGGACAAAGGCUUUUAUUAGCUGUUUCCUCGGUAUAUUUUUGCAAGAAACCUUUAAAGAUAACUUUGCUUUUGGGAGUAGAGAAUCUUGAAAUAUGACAAAGGCUGCUGAGAAAUCUUAAUACAAAGGCACAAUGUAUCCCAAGAAAGUUUCCAUGAUGUCACUUCAGCUGAAUCUCUGAGGAAAAAUAUACUCUGCAAAGAAAAGCACACCAAGAGAGCAAAGACAAUCAGAUGUAUUAACACACAGAGUUAGCAACAUCAAAGCAGGGAGGUCCCUCUUUGGUUUUGUUGGAUGUGCUUUGGGUUUUUUCCUGAGACCCUGCACUAAGCUCAGUAGCAUUUCUCCUCAAGAGCAAGAGGGAGAGUUUUGCCUUCCUCCACAGUAGCAUUUCUGAAGUAGAUUAGAUGUGUCAUGAGAGAUGAUGCAGGGCAAUUUGUAGAAGGAGAUGAUACAAUCAACAUCCACAAAUAGAAAACAGAAGCAGCCAAUAAAUAUUUCUGUUUCAUAACUGUAAACAGGCAAGAAUAAUGUACUUGCACAACACAAAGAUAAAGUACCUUUCAGUUCACACACCAUCUCCUCAGGAUAAGCAAUGAGGAAUUUGUGUGACCUAGAUGACUUGCACAUCACAGCCCAAACUGGUGAUGAGGACAUUUUGCCAAAUCAUGAGGAGAACUCAGAAGGAGCUCAGAAGGGUUACAACAAUCUGCAAGAUGUAUUCAAAAGGGACAUUCCAUGAAAAUUAUUUGCGUGUUUCUAGGUCAAAGAAAAAUAAUGCAAUUUGAUUACUGAAGAUUAAAAGCUUCAAAUUUAAGUAAUGCCAGUGUACUUUAUGGUUG